AUUUGCCUUCAUGUCCACAGCCUGAGAAGGGUUACUUAAUGAGUCUCAAGACCAGACACACAACACAGGUCAUGGCCCUCUCUUCCAUCUGCAAAGUGCUUUACUCUAGCCUCCUCUGCUGUGCUUUCAUCAGCUUCUGCCUGUGACUCUCUUGCCUUCCUCUCAUAAGGAUACUUACAAUUACACUGGGCUCAUACGGAUAAUCCAAGAUACUCUUCCCAUCUCAAGACCAUUAAUUUAAUCACAUCAGCAAAAUCCUAUUAGCCAAGGAAGGCAAUGCAUUUAAAUAUUUUGAGAAUUAAGAUUAGCCAUCUUUAAGAAGCCAUGAUUCAGCCACCAUGAAUGGUCUAUGAAGCCAUGGGACUGGACGAGUUCACCAAAGGAAAGAGUGUAAGUUGA
rnacentral:lncRNA from 1 species